rnacentral:lncRNA from 1 species
UCGGCGUAAGUUAGAAGUUUCUGGGAUAAAAUGGUGGCUAUGGUGUUCUGUUUUUGUGUUUUGUGCGUAUGUGUGUUUGUAUUAGGCGGUAUUACACUUCUUUUAUGUAUUUGUCUUUAGGGAUCGAGUAAUGCAGAUAAAUUAAAACAGCGUGUCUGCUUCAUUUGAGAUCUGACAUAAUUGUUUACAACAAAUCAUGAAUAAUUUUCAGAAUACUGCUUUAAAAGAGAGCAAUUAUUUCAUGAUUACUUGGAAGAAGAUACUCUAUCUGUGACAAAGGCAC